CAGGAUCUGUUCUAUUGGCUCGUACCUCUGUAUCCUUGAGUUCUAAGGAGACAGGAUUCCAAGGUACGACCUUACUUGAACAGGAUCUGUUCUAUUGGCUCGUACCUCUGUAUCCUUGAGUUCUAAGGAGACAGGAUUCCAAGUCUGGUUGAUGAACAGUGGCUGUGUGAUCAGAGCGUGAUUACUGGUCUUUGUGGUUCUAGAUGUUGAUCUCACCAGGACCGCAGAGGAUCGUUCUCAGCUGGCUUUGACUAGCUGGGAUGGUCACGCAGCUGUCUGACAGACUCCCUAUCUUUUUCCA